AUAAAAUGAAAAGAAAAUUCCUCUUACACUUAAUAUAACUGAGAAUUUCCCAAACAGAGUUGACCACAAAAUUCUUUUCUCAUUUAACCCUAAAAAACUUGUGCUCUUUGGAAUACUUGGUAGAAAAGCGGAUCUGUUCCAAGUCUCAUUUUACAGAUUCUGAGGCCCAGAGAGGUGAAAAGAACUGACUGAAGUCAUUUAGCCCGUUAGUUCUUGAAAGACUAUAAUUUGUUCUCAGAAAAUAACGUACAGUGUAGUAAAAUUUAACUAUUUUUAACACUACUUGGAGAUGUUUUGAAGCUAAGAAAUACCGUAGAAAUUAGAAAUCUCAAGAUAAGAGGAAAGGGCUAGGCAACAAAGAUAAGGAGCUGGUUUCUUAUCACUCACAUUGAAAUAAAAUUAAAUUAUUAAACACACCGCACUCCAGCCUGGGUGACAGAGUGAGACUCCAUCUCAAGAAAAUAUAUAUAUAUAUAUUAGAGCAUAUGCAAAUAAUAAGGAAAGCAUUCAAGGGUAAAUGUUUAGUAAACAUGGAAAAAGUUCAUGCUGACUGCAAAUCAAACAAAUGCAAAUUAAAUGAGCUGGGCAUGCUGGCAUACACCUGUAGUCCCAGCUACUCCGGAGACUGUGGUGGAAGGAUCGCUUGAACCCGGGAGGUUGAGGCUGCAUUGAGCUGUGAUCAUGCCACUGCACUCCAGCCUGGGUGACAGAGCGAGACCCUGCCUCAAAAAAUUAAAUUAAAUUAAAUUAAAAAUGCAAAUUAAAGCCACAAGAAACCACUGCCACCAUUCAAAUGUUCAAAGAUUAAGAAAAAGAAAAAUCGUCAUGGCUGGGCACAGUGGCUCACGCCUGUAAUCCCAGCACUUUGGGAGGCCGAGGCGGGUGGAUCACCUGAGGUUGGGAGUUCGAGACCAGCCUGGCCAACAUAGUGAAACCCAAUCUCUACUAAAAAUACAAAAACGUAGCUGGGCAUGGUGGCAGAUGCCUGUAGUCCCAGCUACUCAGGAGGCUGAGGCAGGAGAAUCACUUGAACCCUAGAGGCAGAGGUUGCAGUGAACCAAGGUCAUGCCACUGCACUCCAGCCUGUGCAACAAAAGCGAAACUCUGUCUCAAAAAAAAAAAAGAAAAAUGGUCAUUCCCAAAAACCUCACUAAGGUGAGGCACUAGUCAAGAACCCUCUAUUCAUGCUCAUAGUCUUUCUGAGAAGUCCUUGGCAAGAUGUUACGAUAACCUGAAGAGUAUGCUGAGACCUGGUGAUUUCACUUCCAAAAAUACUAAGGAAAUAACCCAGUUGACAGUCAUGAACUCAGAUGUACAUGUUGGCAUUAUGUAAAACAGUGAAAACUGGAAGUCACUGGCAUGUUCACCAGUGGGGGUAUGACUGAGUAAAAGGCAGGCUGGCCACAGCAAGGAAAAUGAUGCCCAUGAAGAGAUUUUAAACGUAUGGGGAAGUGCUUUAACUUAGACAGGGUCUCACACAGGCUGGCCUUGACCUCCUAAACUCAAGCAACCCUCCCACCUCAGCAUCUCAGAGUGCUGGGAUUACAGGUGUG
rnacentral:lncRNA from 1 species